rnacentral:rRNA from 1 species
CCUACGGGAGGCUGCAGUGGGGAAUAUUGGACAAUGGGGGGAACCCUGAUCCAGCCAUGCCGCGUGUGUGAAGAAGGCCCUCGGGUUGUAAAGCACUUUCAGUGAGGAAGAACGCCUGGUGGUUAAUACCCAUCAGGAAAGACAUCACUCACAGAAGAAGCACCGGCUAACUCCGUGCCAGCAGCCGCGGUAAUACGGAGGGUGCGAGCGGUUAAUCGGAAUUACUGGGCGUAAAGCGCGCGUAGGUGGCUUGAUAAGCCGGUUGUGAAAGCCCGGGCUCAACCUGGGAACGGCAUCCGGAACUGUCAAGCUAGAGUGCAGGAGAGGAAGGUAGAAUUCCCGGUGUAGCGGUGAAAUGCGUAGAGAUCGGGAGGAAUACCAGUGGCGAAGGCGGCCUUCUGGACUGACACUGACACUGAGGUGCGAAAGCGUGGGUAGCAAACAGGAUUAGAUACCCCUGUAGUC